GACGAACCGUGCGAACGUUAUUCGGAAUCACUGGGCUUAAAGCGCGUGUAGGCGGGAGGGCACGUCCGUCGCUGAAAGCCCCCAGCUCAACUGGGGAAGUGCCUUGGAUACUGAUUUGCUCGAGGGAGGUAGGGGUCGCGGGAACUUCCGGUGGAGCGGUGAAAUGCGUUGAUAUCGGAAGGAACGCCGGUGGCGAAAGCGCGCGACUGGACCUCUUCUGACGCUGAGGCGCGAAAGCCAGGGGAGCGAACGGG
rnacentral:rRNA from 1 species